rnacentral:lncRNA from 10 species
GAGACCCCAUCUUUACAAACAACAAGUGAAAAUAACAGCCAGCUGUGGUGACACCCACCUGUAACCCCAGCUACUUGGGAGGCUGAGGCAGGAGGACCUCUUGAGCCUGGGAUGUUGAGGCUGAAGUGAGCUGUGAUCAUCCUGCUACAUUCCUGCAUUCCAGCAUGGGUAAAAGAGCAACACCCUGUCUCAAAAAUAAAUAAAUAUAUUAAUUAAUUAAUUAAGUACUAAUAAAAAAUUAAAAAUUGAUUGGGAGUUCUUCAUGGCCAAGACUUGGCAACUGAUAGCUUUUAGGGGGAAUGUAUGCUGAUUCCUGAUUGUUUUCCUCUACCUCUCUUUCUUAUCUCCCGGUGCAAUCAUAAAUGAUGGCUGGAACUACUCCAUUCCUCUGGAGAUGAAAUCUGCAUUCUCUUGUCUGAGUGGAGCCUCAGGACAAAGAGCAGAUGGUGGGACUAUGUGUUCAGCGUUCAGUUUUUUUCUCCCUGGAAGAUUCUUUCUCUGUUUUUGAAUGGGACAAAAGAAGAAGUGACUUCAAAGAAGAGGAAGAAGAGAUGGCUGAACCUGCAGUGUCUGGGUCAGUGCAAGCUUCAGAUAGACUUAAGAAAGAGCUCAGGGACAUAUACAGAUCACAGAAUUAUAAGACAGGUAAGGAUGUCUACAUCCCUGUUCUUCUUAUUGUCCUUUUGUUCUUUUCUGUUGUCCGAUUAUAAAUGUCAUUUCUUAAAACUGGGCAGAAAUGGAAAUGUUUACUAGCUUUAUUUUGUGAAACUCGAAUGCAAUCAAGUUCCAAAAGAUGUAGGGGGUAAGAUAAGAUGAGUAUGCUAUUAGUUUUAUAGGCCUGUUGGAAUUCUUUUUGUCAUCUUCCUGACAGAGUAAACAUUUACAUGAUUUUUAUCUUGUGGCAAAAAGCUUGAGCAAUAUUGUUUGAUAUGUAAAUAAGAGUAAUACAUUUCAUUCUACAGGGAAUGAUUACCAAGUUGAUUUUUGUGAUUUUUCUGCCAGUUUUGAAAGCAACAUAAUCAACUCUUAUUGUGGAGGUAGUUAUGUUAUUACUUUUAAAAUAUAUAGGUGGAGUACACCUGUAGUCCCAGCUACCAGGGGUGGUGGGAGGCUGAGGCAGGAGGAUCUUUUGAGUGUGGAGAAGUCAAGGCUGCCAUGAGCUGUGAUUGCACCAUCAUAUUCCAGCCUGGGUGACACAGUGAGACACCCUGCCUCAAAAAACAAAACUAAGGGGGAGCGAGGGGUGGGAUACAUAUGGGAUACAUAUAUAUAUAUAGGACAGUUGUAGAAAAAUACCGAUUUUUUAGUGAUUUAACUUUUAACAGUUCUGUCCAUGGCAAAUUUUCCUCCUGGAACAGCUUGGCUAGUAAUACAAGUUUAGGAAAGCAUAUUAAACUUUUUUUGAAUUCUUGAGAAAAUUAUAUACAUGUGACUGUUUUCCUUUAGAAUGACUGCAAACUCUGAACCCCCUUGUUAGAUUUGAUUUACGCUCUUGUGAUCUCUUUGGGACAUUUAUUCUACUGGAGCUGGAAGCUACAGUGGACUCCAUUUUUCUCAGGGAUAUACAGCAGCUUAAGAUCUCCUCUUUCUGGAACCUACCCUAGUUGCUCUAUUUUACCUUUCAGAUUGGUUCAUUUUUGAGUUAGUACAAAUAAUAAUAAUAAUAGUCUUUCUGUUUGAAUUGUUUUUUUGUUUUGUACAUCUCAAGGUUGACCCUGAUAGUCCUUUGCGCAGUGAUCUUCAGAUCUUAAAGGAAAAACAAGGGAUAGGAGACAUUUUUCUUAUCUUUUAAGGCAAGAAAAUUGUUAUGAGACUCUAUAUCCUUCUAAUGGGGGUGUAUAUUUUGUACAAGUGUUUUGGAAAACAGUUUUUUUAAAGUGGAAGAUACUCAUACCCUAUGGUUCAGAAUCUUGUGGAUAUAUAC